rnacentral:rRNA from 1 species
UUAGUAUUGCGGCCUUCGGUACUCUCGCCUUCGUGCAGGCGCAGGAAGAGGAAACUCCUUCCUCCGCGCCGACCGGCACGUCGGUCCACCCUAUCGCCUUCCCCCACAAUACCCAUGCUGGGGAAUUCAAGAUCGAUUGCCAAUAUUGUCAUUUCUCGGCAGAGCGGU